UACAGGGGGUGCAAACGUUGCUCGGAAUUAUUGGGCGUAAAGCGCGCGUAGGCGGCUACCUAAGUCGGAUGUGAAAGCCCCUGGCUUAACCGGGGAAGUGCACCCGAAACUGGGUAGCUAGAGUGCAAAAGAGGGUCGCGGAAUUCCCAGUGUAGAGGUGAAAUUCGUAGAUAUUGGGAAGAACACCGGUGGCGAAGGCGGCUCUCUGGACCGAUACUGACGCUGAGGCACGAAAGCGUGGGGAGCAAACAGG
rnacentral:rRNA from 1 species